rnacentral:lncRNA from 1 species
GCGACCCUUCGGAUGAAGCAGCUAUGCAAGCGGCAGCCUCCACUCCGCCCAGAAUGGCAACACCGCGAGCUUGACACCCAUCAUGUUGAUAAGACCAUGAUCUGAAACAAAAAUAGAAGAGCACUACUGCUGAGAAAAAGCCAUCACGGACAAAUCUUCAGAUGCUCAUAAUGCAUCAUUGAAAUUAUAACCUGGAGUUAACCAAAAUCAUGCAUAACCGAAAUUAUAUAUGCACCCCAAAAUCCAAUUAACCAUGUGAAAUCACAGAGAAGCAAACCUAAAUCCUAAACAAACUAUUUUUGUUCAUUUUUUAAUUUUAAUGUGACAGAAUCUACCCUGUUCACGUUUUUUUAUAAUCGGUAUAAUAGUUGCAACCAUGAUAUCAAUGAACAAAAAAAAUGGAAGGUUAUGGCUUACUUAACGCUUAUCAAUUGAUGUUGUCUGCGCCCCUGCCUUCUGAACCUGAUGCUUCUAAACCUGGUACAACAUGCCGCUCCUCAUUAGAUGGUGUCCCACCAUUUUCUGGACUUUGCCCAGACAUUGGGGAAAAGUGUCAGCGCCUUCAUCAUUUAAUCUGCCGGCAGAAGAGAACACAAUGUGGUCCCAGCAAAAACUUGACAUGCCAACAUCUCCGGAUCAUAGAGGUGCAAUUGUGUUAGAAAUUCUAGGCUUCUACAUAAUAGGAGGGUACCCAACAAGAUCGGUGGGGCGCAGAUUCAUCCCAGUCUACCUGCAUGCACACGAAGAUACAUUAAGUAGUAAAGUCAGAGAAGAAUAUGCAAUAAAAGUGCAAGCCAAGCAAAGCAAAUACGUAAUCAGUGGAGCCAGUUAUUAUAAAAUAAAGAAGACAAUAAGAUCAACCCUUUUAGGCACUAUCUCAAAAUGAAGGAACGGGUGGAAUAGACAACAUGAAACACCUUACUUGAUAUGUCAGGACCAAAGGUGCAGUUAUUUGAAUUGACAGAGUUCAGAAUUGGGCAACCAUGACUGUGAAGAGCUAAUGGCAGUAUGGCACGUAUUUUGCUUUGCUUAAGCAAGCUUGAGAUUUCUCGUUUUCUGAAUAUAAAUAACUGGCUGCUGAUUGCAUUGCUAACUUCAAAUCAAAAUUGCCAUCAGCAACAUUGGGUUAGGUGAAUAAUCAGAGUGAGUCCUGCUGGAAACGGACAAGUGAUCCAAACCCAUCCGACAGAGCAGUCACAGUCAUCUCAUCGAGAUCAAAGCAACUGACAAAAUUAAGAGAAGCAAAGAGAUACAUCUUGGAUGACUUGCACAGAAGUUGCGCACAUCUAUAAGAACCAUGUGAAUCAAACAAUGAUGUUGAGAUUGAGGCCUAAAUCCACUAAACGCUGACACUUAGUACUACUGUAUUAUACGUACAUGACACAACAAGCACAGAUCUUUGGAUGACAGGGCAUCCGCACAAGCCAAAAAUCCUAGAACUUGCCAUGGCGUGAUGGCCAGGGUAAGAUUGAUUGGCCACGGGUGGAUGGCCGUGGGCACACGAGCGCAUGAGAGAAAGCAGAGUUUUGAGGAGCUUAUACCAUAGCUAGGGCGGAGCGAAAGAAGAGGCGUUUGUCCACCGGAGACGGAGGGGAAGGC